GGUCUGGUGGUGUAAUGGUAACACACCUGUUAUAUCUGUGGGUGAUCUGCAAUAGAUGUUUCAGUGGGGAAUCCUUGUUCGAAUCAAGGUCAGGCCA